AGCGGUGCAGACAAAGGAGGGGCGGAGGGAGGAGACGGAGGGUGUGGGAGAGGCGGCUUCACCGGCGCGGGCGGCGGCGGCCGCGCUCCUCUCGCUCCUCAGCAGCGGGGACCGAGAGAGGGAGCUGUGUCUGAGAAGACGCCAAAAUCCCCCUUAGCGCUGCCUGCGGGAGGGGGAGGGGGCACAAGAUGGCGGCGGCCGGGGGGGGGGGGGCGGGAGUUCAGCUCAUGGAUCCCGGCGGGCGGCGGAGGGGAGACCGGGCCGGCGGAGGCGGCGGCGGCAACGGGCGGGGGAGGGGGCUGAUCCCGCGUCUCCCCUCAGCAGACAAUACAAGCGCCUCGGACCGAGUCCCCGAACCUGCCCUAGCCAAAAUGGCGGCCGAGAAAGAGCGGAAGUGACACAGGGUCUCACUCUGUUGUCCAGGCAUGAUCACAGCUCACUGCAGCCUUGACCUCCCAGACUCAAGUGAACCUCCCACCUCAGCCUCCCAAGUAGCUGGGACCACAGGUG
rnacentral:lncRNA from 10 species